rnacentral:lncRNA from 1 species
AAUAUACAGGAACGCACAAAGAAACAGAAUACGGUUACAGUUUUGUGCUUUUGAUAUUCACAGAUUCAAUCAAAUCCAAUUCCAACAAGAGUGAUCUCUGUCUAAUCCGAUAAAUCAUUGCGUGUAACCCGCAAAUAGGUUUAUCUGAUAGUUCACAUACCAUUCAGAGAUUAAUCCAGGUUUUAUCAUAACUUUUGCAAUUUCAAUUCGGGUUCCAGGUUUGUUAUCUAUUUGAAAUUACUUGUUCUAGACCAAUUAUACAACAAAGAUAAACCUAUUAUAGGGUUCAAUUUGGUCUUUGGUUGUGAUUUCAAGUUUGAAAAAUAUUCUACAGUGAAUAUUUUUAUGUUUUGUAGUUUGUGAAUUAACCCUUAUUCACACGUUCUAGUGGUUAAUUUGGGUUUGUUUAUCUUGUUUUCACAAGUUUUAAUUCUAGAACUCUAGUUUCCUAAGUUUUGAAAUUGUGGGUUCUUAGAAUUAAUUGUCGAAAUAUAUUGUGAUUUGGUUACAAUUGUUUGUUUAAAUCACAAGGAAUUGAAUUUUAAAUUCAUGGUGGACGCUGAACCUGUUUGAAAUUAGGAGUUAGAAUUUUGGGAUAGAGUCUAUUGCUUUACAGGCCUUGAAAUUGAAUUUUGGUUGCAAAAAUAUUGGGAUUUCAUUUAUUUGGAAUUCACGAGUUCACGGCUGUACAUAGAAUUUAAAAAAAAAAAGGUUUGAAUUUGGGAUAUGUGAAUUCAUGGAUUAAAUUAUUUAUUGGGAUUCACUAACCGAACAGUAUUGUUGGUUUUGAUCUUGAGUUAAAUUCAAAAGUUGAUUCUUCAUCUUUUUAUCACUAUUAAUUUCAAAACCGAUUAUUGAUUCACAUUGCGACUGCGUAAUAGGUUCUUGACAUGUCUAGUAAAUUUACUAUAUUAGAAAAGUUUAUGGGAAAUAAAAGAAAGCUUGAUCGGGACACUAAUAAUUCCAACAAGAAACCAAAAGGGAGUUGUUGGAGAUGUGGAAAACCUGGGCAUUUUAGGAAAAAUUGUCGCGUAAAGCUUGCGGUUGGAAACGAGGCCAACAUAGCGGGUCCAAGUGUGUCAAAAGAUCCAAAUGCUCCACACGAUGAUAUGCUUGCAUGGUGGGUUGACUCGGGUGCUACGAGUCACGUUUGCAAGGAUCUCAAAUGGUUUGAGGAAUUCAAACCAAUUGAAGAUGGAUCUGUACUAAGGAUGGGAAAUGUUGCAACCGAGCCCAUCAAAGGAGUUGGAAAAGUUAGACUUGUAUUCACGUCUGGAAAACACUUGUUGUUAGAUAAUGUGUUGUAUGUACCGGGGAUUCGAAAGAAUCUCUUAUCCGGAAUUGUACUAAACAAUUGUGGUUAUAAACAGGUCAUUGAGUCAGAUAAGUUUAUCUUGUCUCGACAUGGAACCUUUGUUGGAUU